rnacentral:pre_miRNA from 1 species
AGCAGGUCACGUGUGGUGCAGCGUGAUAGUGGAAUAUGCUGCAUCAGGUGUGGCACAGCACA